CGGUAUAAACUGCGACUUCGGAGGCAUGUUGUUGUCAACUCAACAGCGCUCGAGGAAUGCCUGAAUUCAUUCCAUUUCAACAAAAUUUGUUUCAUUGUCUACUCUGUGUCUACUGUAGUUAUCUGGAUUCCCAGGAACGCAACAUGCAUACUUUCGACUUUACAUCUAAUCAAUGAAGUACUAUUUUAGGCAUUGAGUGCUCUUGAGUAUAUUUUUAAUUCACUGAUGGACUAGCUUUGACUCCCUGAUGAACAUAGACUUUGUGUUUCCACCUCGAUUGGUCAAAGCGCCUAUUGAAAUUGGAUGAGUUAAUCGUAACAGUGAAACUGGGCCACUGGACUUAGCACCGAAUGUUGGACUAAUGGCUUCCCAGUCGCACUUAACAUUCGCGUCACGUGUUUUAUCGGGUACGAAAUUUUAUACCCGAUAAAACACUGCUACUACUGCACGUGUUUUAAAUAGUACAUCGAUACUAAGUGAAGGGAAAUUUCUUGCUGAACAUUCUAUUUAUUGUGUAUCAGCCUUACAAACGAAAGCCAUCAGCGGAAAUAAAGAAAACCACGGAUUAUGCCUGGCACAACGCAAAAGCGAUAAUUGCCGAUAAGAGUUGCCGCAGUGUCGCUGUCCUGGUAAAUCUUUACAUAAAAUCUACAGUAGAUAUCUUAAAGCGCAGCUGAAAAUAUCUGUAAUUUGCCGUGUCGCGUAUUGUCCCGAAAUAAACAUAAUCAUUCAACCAUGAGUCGCCCUGAACUCGCUCGCAUCCUUUCAGUGAGCCAGGAUCCUAUUACCGCAAGUGUCCGAUGUCAGCUAUGCUAGCCUUGUCUGCUUUGGUAGAAUACUAUUCGCCUUCACUAUGGUUGAUCAUACUAAUCAAUGUCAUUAUAACUGUUAAUAAAUGGGACAGUUUUCCGGGGAAAAGAGGCUUACCCCUCGGAACCAAGUAUAAUAGAGAAUUAGACCUUACGUGAUUAUAGAUAAUAAAGCGCUUUUGACCUUUCAAACGACGCGCUAUGAACCGCCGCCGCCUGGUAAUUAAGUAACACGACCCCGAGCUUUUUUUUCCUUCCCCUUAAGCCGAAACCAAGGCAUCUCACUACCAAUUUCCAAAAUAGCUGUUAAUAUUCUCAACCAGCAUUCAUCUACGUUAAAAGAAACCAUUAUGUCGACCAAGACAUGGGAGAUAUUCUCAUUUAAAGGUGCCAGUGAAAGGGCACUAAAGCAAGGCAAACCUUUAGAGAGUAAGCAAUUUGGAGCAGAGUCGCACUUGUGGAAGCUGAAGUAUGCACCUGAGACAGAAUUGUUUCAUGUUCACCACCUUUGUGAUGACAAAGUUGAUGUAAAUAUAGUGAUGAUGAUUGGAGAUAUGAAAAAAAAAGAUACUAAUUUAAAGCUGGCCAAAGGACAAGCAGCCACCUUCAAUUUUCAAGUUCCGGAUGUAGAAAAAGUUGAAGUCCAUGUGGCCAUUAUGGAACACAAACAAAAGGUUAAAAUAAGCAAACAUCAUUUUGUUUAUACUAGACAAUUCUAUUUAUUUGGGGGCCUAAAAACCCAUUUCCUAUUGAGGGGCCUGAAAUUCUGGGAGGGGGAGUGAGAACAGAAUUGUCAAAGGGGCAAAAAAGAAAAAUCCAUGGGCUUAUAUAAUGAUUUACCCGAGGGGGAAAACUAGGAAAAGUCAUAUUGAAGGGGGAGGGGGGAAAUUGGUAAAUCCAAGGGAGAAAUAACAAGAUCCAAGGGGUAUUAAUUAAUGGUAAUUCCAGGUGUCUUGAAGAAAUACUUCCAAAAGGAGUAAUAGAAGGGUUUAGGGAAUAAAAGCCAUACACGAAGCCAAGAACGAAAAAGAAAAAGAAAAACUGAGAGUGGAACAGAAGACAACAGCAAAAAAAAGAAUUGCAAAAAGUUGAGGAGUAGAGAGAGAGAGAGAGAUACAGGACCUAGAGGAAGAAAUUGAGAAGAAGAUGGAGCUAUUGAGAAAGAAAGAAGAGGAAUUAGGGGAUUUGAGAAAGAAACUGAAGAGGCUGAGACGGAGACAGCGGGAAAGCAAAAGGAGGGAAAAGAAAUGAGGUAGCAUGCAAAGUUUAAAAAAAAAAGACUAAGGUUGGCAUGUCCGAGUCGACAAAGAAUGAAGAGAAAGGAAAGCCAGAAAAUGAAAUAAACAUAAAAAAGAAUGUGUAAAAUCAAGAGAGCAAUUCUUUGUUAUCCCCUGGAAAUACGUCGAAAGUGUUACAGUUAAAUUGAAAAUAUUUGGUUUUUUUUGUUGUUGUUUAUUUUUCUGCAUCCUAAUUUUUAUGUAAAUUGUUUGAUUUCUAAUAAAUCUUGUUAUUUAUAUGCGAAAAUUGUAUUUUGUAAAUUAACAGAUUAAGUGUGAAAAUAAAUGGAUAACUUAUGCUAUCAAAA